rnacentral:rRNA from 1 species
UACGUAGGGCGCAAGCGUUGUCCGGAAUUAUUGGGCGUAAAGAGCGUGUAGGCGGCCAGGUAGGUCUGCUGUGAAAACUCGAGGCUUAACCUCAAGCUGUCGGCGGAAACCAUCUGGCUAGAGUCCGGAAGAGGAGAAUGGAAUUCCCGGUGUAGCGGUGAAAUGCGCAGAUAUCGGGAAGAACACCCGUGGCGAAGGCGGUUCUCUGGGACGGUACUGACGCUGAGACGCGAAAGCGUGGGGAGCGAACAGG